rnacentral:rRNA from 1 species
GACGGACGCUGGCGGCGUGCUUAACACAUGCAAGUCGAACGGAAAGGCCCUGCUUUUGUGGGGUGCUCGAGUGGCGAACGGGUGAGUAACACGUGAGUAACCUGCCCUUGACUUUGGGAUAACUUCAGGAAACUGGGGCUAAUACCGGAUAGGAGCUCCUGCUGCAUGGUGGGGGUUGGAAAGUUUCGGCGGUUGGGGAUGGACUCGCGGCUUAUCAGCUUGUUGGUGGGGUAGUGGCUUACCAAGGCUUUGACGGGUAGCCGGCCUGAGAGGGUGACCGGCCACAUUGGGACUGUGAUACGGCCCAGACUCCUACGGGAGGCAGCAGUGGGGAAUAUUGCACAAUGGGCGGAAGCCUGAUGCAGCAACGCCGCGUGCGGGAUGACGGCCUUCGGGUUGUAAACCGCUUUCGCCUGUGACGAAGCGUGAGUGACGGUAAUGGGUAAAGAAGCACCGGCUAACUACGUG